GGUGGGGUACCGAAGCGGCCAAACGGGGCAGACUGUAAAUCUGCUGGCUUAUGCCUUCGGAGGUUCGAAUCCUCCCCCCACCA
rnacentral:tRNA from 10 species